rnacentral:rRNA from 1 species
GACGAACGCUGGCGGCGUGCCUAAUACAUGCAAGUCAACUGUGGCGGACGGGUGAGUAACGCGUAAAGAACUUGCCUCACGGAUAGGGACAACAUUUGGAAACGAAUGCUAAUACCUGAUACUGUGAGAGAGCUUUGCGUCCCAUUAGCUAGUUGGAGAGGUAACGGCUAACCAAGGCGAUGAUGGGUAGCCGGCCUGAGAGGGUGAUCGGCCACAAGGGGACGGAGACACUGCCCUUACUCCUACGGGAGGCAGCAGUGGGGAAUAUUGGACAAUGGACCAAAGUCUGAUCCAGCAAUUCUGUGUGCACGAUGAAGUUUUCGGAAUGUAAAGUGCUUUCAGUUGGGAAGCGGUACCAACAGAAGAAGUGACGGCUAAAUACGUGCCAGCCGCCGCGGUAAUAC